AAAAGUUUUUUAUGAAUUAUAAAACGUCAAAAAGAGUCCCUUGAGAAAGUUGUGUUGGAAAGGAGAGUUUAGGAUAAUUUGUCAUGAACUUUCGGGAUUAUUUCUUGGGAAUUGGCGAAGAAAUAUUUUAACGAGUUUCGAAAGAAAACAAAUUAAAAUAAACGUAAGAAAUAAUAAAUUAGUAUGUCGAAUGGUAUCGUGGUUACAAAUGAUAUUGAAACGCAUACAAGAACAUAAAUUACUUCAAGAGAGGCAGACAAAAGUGCAAACUCCUACGUUCAAGUUAUCUAAAGAAAAACGUUACGACGACGAUGGAGGUGGAUUCACGUCACAGAUAUACGUAACUAUUUACCAAUGCUAUAACAUUUCGGAGAAAGGAUACGAAAGUAGCACAAAUGCUGAAAGUACAAUAAAUAACGCGAUACUGAAACUAUCAAAAAGAUUCUUUGUAAUUCACUUUUAAUUAUAAUCAUAGAUAAAUUAGAAUUUCGAAAACA